CCCUCCGCCUCCUGGCCCCUCUCCGUGGGCGCCAUGGAGCGUAGAUCCAUCUGGACUUGGAUCAGACUGGCCUCCUGGUUUUAGAUUGUGACUCGCGAGGGGCGGUGGUGACACUUCCAGGACCAGCGAACGAGAACAGCGGCUGCGCGACGACGGUCACCCCGUGAGCACCACAUGCUUCUAGCCAUCUCGAUAUGAGUCCAUCCGUGAUUGCAUAUGUCAUGCUAAAUCAAUUUAGACGUUUGUCCUGAAUACGUUGCCUCAAGGAAUACCUAAUUUUUAUGUUUGUGAGUCUUCAUCCUCACCUUUUGUUUGAAGAAUUUAGGACAAUCUGCUGGUUCUGUGAUGUAGACAGCUGUUUUUCUAACUUGCAGGACCACGACUAGUACAUUGGAAAUGCUAACUUGCAUGUUCUUACACAGUUCAUUGGGAGUUAUCUAUCAUUCAUAUGCAAGUUCAGUAACCUAGUGCAUGAUAGACUUCUUUUGCUAGAAAAUAUGUUUGAUGGAUGAUAGUGGACUGAAGUGCAAGGGCUCCCAAUAUGCUUAUCUUUUCUUUUAAAUAAGUAUGCCUCCAAGUGUUCGAUAAUGAUGCAAAAGUACUGUUGUCUUCCCUUGAAUUGAUUAAUUUCUUCAUUUGCUUGCAUGCACAUGGGCAUUGUCUCGCCUCACUAUCAAAAUAGGCGUGAGGUGGGCAAGGCAAGAAUUCUGGUUCCUGUAAAAAUCAAAAUGAGCCAGAUGCUGCAGGACAGCAAGAGUCCAAUAUCUCCAAGUUCAAGUCGCAAGUGCAGAGCUUGCAGGUAUUGUUCAAAGCUAAACAGUUAGGUCACAACUAUUUCGAUUACUGCAUAAACAAUAACGGAAGUGGCCAUACAUGCAUAUUGCAUCUCAACCAACAUGGAAACAUAUACAGAUUAAUUUUUUACUUGUUCGUCGAGCACUGUCUCUUCUUUUGUGUGGCACGAUUCCUUCCAACAGAGGUAUUGUUUUUCAUCAGGACUUGCAAGGACAACUAUAUUUUUACCACCACCACAUUGCCAUUUCUUCUUUGUUCAGUUCAUAUUGAGGACCACACUAAAUUGAUUUGUUGGCUCAUAUUGACAUCUAAAACUGGAUUGGCUGUCCAUAACAAAUUAAAAAGACAUUACAAGACAUGGAGAUGACCGUUUUGAAAAUGCUAUGCAAUUGUACUGCCAUAUUUUUCAGAGGUAUGUUUGUCCCUUUCACAGGCUUGUUAUUAACACCUAAGCUUACGAAUCAUGAUGCACCCACCCUUUUUAGCGUCUUAGCAACAGCAUCGAAUGUUUCAUUGUUUGGAGGAUUUGCUUGGAAGAGUUUAUGCAUAGCAGUACAUCACAGCUGGGAUCACUAAGGAUACGCCGCAGAUGCUUCAUUCAAUAGGAUUAGUGAGGAUGCAGAUGCUGUUUUUAAAUAUUUGAAUUGUUAUUUGUAUAUUGUAUCAUGUAAGAUCCAUAGAAAACAUAAAAGGAGCAUAUUUGUUAUUUGUUGGAUCUCUUUCUUACCGAGACCUAUAGAAAACCGAAGUGCUUGUUGCUUAUUCUGUAAUUGAGAUUUUAAUAAAAUCAAUGCGAUGUAUAUAAGUACCUCUUUCUCCCA